rnacentral:rRNA from 1 species
ACGCUCGACACCUACGGGAGCAGCAGUCGGGAAUAUUGCGCAAUGGAGGAAACUCUGACGCAGUGACGCCGCGUAUAGGAAGAAGGUUUUCGGAUUGUAAACUAUUGUCGUUAGGGAAGAAAAAGGACAGUACCUAAGGAGGAAGCUCCGGCUAACUACGUGGCAGCAGCCGCGGUAAUCUGAGCGGGCUGGCAAGGC